rnacentral:tRNA from 1 species
CAAUAGCUCAGCUGGAUAGAGUGUCUGACUACGAAUCAGAAGGUCGGGGGUUCGAGUCCCUCUUGGCG